UUUUUAUAGAACUAAUUAUAAAUAAAACCUGCUCAAUGAAUUAUUCAAUAGCCGCAGAAUUUUUACUGUGCUAAGGUAGCAUAAUCACUUGUCUUUUAAUUAAGGACUAGAAUGAAAGGUUAAACGAACAAUAAAUUUUCAACACUACACAUAUUUAAAUUAUACUUAGUAUAAAAAUAUACUAAUACAUUAAAAAGACGACAAGACCCUGCUGAACUUAACUGAAGUUAUACUGGGGCAGUAAUUAAACAAUAUUUUUAAAAAAAUAAAUACUAAAUCUAUUCAAGUUACCACAGGGAUAACAGCGCAAUUUAUUUUUCAAGCUCUUAUACAAAAAUAAGAUUACGACCUCGAUGUUGAAUAAUUUAACUACAAGAUGAAAAAAUCUACUUAGUGAGUCUGUUCGACUUUUAAACAAUUACA
rnacentral:rRNA from 1 species